AGUGAACGCUGGCGGUAGGCCUAACACAUGCAAGUCGAACGGCAGCACAGUAAGAGCUUGCUCUUACGGGUGGCGAGUGGCGGACGGGUGAGGAAUACAUCGGAAUCUACUUUUUCGUGGGGGAUAACGUAGGGAAACUUACGCUAAUACCGCAUACGACCUACGGGUGAAAGCAGGGGAUCCUCGGACCUUGCGCGAUUGAAUGAGCCGAUGUCGGAUUAGCUAGUUGGCGGGGUAAAGGCCCACCAAGGCGACGAUCCGUAGCUGGUCUGAGAGGAUGAUCAGCCACACUGGAACUGAGACACGGUCCAGACUCCUACGGGAGGCAGCAGUGGGGAAUAUUGGACAAUGGGCGCAAGCCUGAUCCAGCCAUACCGCGUGGGUGAAGAAGGCCUUCGGGUUGUAAAGCCCUUUUGUUGGGAAAGAAAAGCAGCAGGUUAAUACCCCGCUGUUCUGACGGUACCCAAAGAAUAAGCACCGGCUAACUUCGUGC
rnacentral:rRNA from 1 species